rnacentral:lncRNA from 1 species
UUUGGGAGAAACCGUAAUGGUGAAAGGGUCCAACAGGGUCGAUAUGAGAACACGUGUAUAUCACAAUUUCAUCGUUUCUUGACUUUUAAAAAGCCACGUGAAAAAAGUGUUUCAACGUGUGUUCUCAGGUCGCCCCUGUAGGAUCAUUUAUCAUCGUAGAUUGAAUGCAAUUUCAAUAGUAAUUGUAGUACUAGGAUGCUACUGUCGAUGAACACAAUCGAAAAAUAGGUUUGUUUUUAUUUUCAUUUUUAUUUGGGCAAAUUACAUAAAAUACUAAUCUUUAGGGUAAUGAAUUCUUGUUCGCAUCACACUCCAAUAUUUCAAUAUAAUAGUUAUUUAUCGUUUCUUGCAAAGUCGUAUAUAGCAACUACAAGGAAAACUUCAAUUAUUUAUAACUUGCAUCACUUUCUAGUACAAAAGUAUAUAUCUUUUACAUUGUCAGUGUGUAACACGUAAAACGAUUCUAAUUGUAUCCGUCUUUUUCAAAGAGUCGUGAAUAAUAGUAAAGUUCAUUAUUUUUAUUGUUAAUUAUUAUUACUGGCAUUGCCAUCAUUAUUUGUUUUUAAUAAAAAAUAAUAUGUUUUUUAUAUUUUAGCUUGUCAAAAGAAAACGAUUGAUUAAAUCAUCGAGUUGAUUAUUAAGCCCCCUAUUGGUGUAAAUUAAAAUUAUAUUUUUAGUAAAUUUUGAUAAAAGUUGAUGAGAUGUAUGAUUGAAAAAUUGUAUAUUUUAUAAAAUAUGUAAUUGAAAUUAAUUAAUGUCUUUAACUUAAAUUAAAAUAUAAAUUUUAAUUCUUGACACAUGAGAAAGUUUGGUACGUUGACCAUAUUGCUCAAUCAAUACCUGCUAGGCGAAUGAAACAUCAUAGACAUCGUAUCUGAGUUGAUUUGAGUGCCGUGAUAUUGUUGGAUUUAAGGAGUUAAAAUUCAAAUUAUUGACCAUCGUAUGCCAUUAGUUUGUGCGUGAAAAAUUGGGAACCCAUCGACUUUUACCGCUUCUUCAUGUCAUUCACAUUUUUAUGAUCGGACUUUAUAGCACGUGUGUAACUCUGAUUACAAAUAGACACCAAUAGUUCAUUAUUUUGCAAAAAAGACAAACCAAAUACCUACUUCAACGCAUUCGGGAAGUCAAGAAAGAGGUAAUUCCGUUGAGUUAAUUGUUUCAAUGGUCACUGAACUUAGAUACAUAUCUUUGAUUAGCCAUUGAACUUUAAAAUGUCAAGUUUUUAGCCACUCAACUUUGAAAAAUGUUGAGUUUUGGUAAUUGAAUUUAAGUCCAUGUCUUUUAUUGGUCACUGAGCUUUAAAAUGUCGAAUUUUGGUCACUAAAUUUUGGAAUAUGUUGUAAGUUACUCAUUUGCAUAACUGUUGAAUUUUAAAAAAUAUCGAGUUGACAAUGAAUAAUGUACAAUAUUUUUCAAAAUUCAGUGAGUAAUGUACAAUAUUUUUCAAAUUUCAGUAGCCAAAACUCGACAUUUUAAAUUUCAGUGAGCAAUCGAAGACAUGGAACUAAGUUCAGUGACCAAAACUCGACAUUUUAAAGUUCAGUGGCCAAUCAAAGACAUGAACAUAAGUUCAAUGACCAUUGGAACAAUUAACUCGAUUCGAUUAUGUUUACAUCAGGGGAAUUUUCAUAAUCAUGUAAUAGCCACCCCAUGUGCCUUCCACAUUAGAUAUUAACAGCCUCUUGGAUAAAAAUGUUUUGUGAAAAAUAACUUUUUUAAAAGAACAUAGGAUGAAAAAUUGAAAUUUUUUUAUGAAUUCACGUGUAAAAUUAUUUUUUUUGAAAAUGUGUGAUUGAACUAAAUUUAAAGGAAGUUGAAUUUUAAAUCAUUAGUACCAAACAUAAUAAAUUUUGGGUUGAAUUCAAAAUAAUCAGACAAAUUUUGAAUAAGCACAUUGCAUUUUUCCAAGUCAUGGUAUAAUAAUGAGCUUUUUGUACGGAAGGAAAGCUUGUAGAAGGCUUAUAGAAUACACAUAAUGGAGGUUGGUGGAGUUCUUUUGACAAUAUUUUAUUCAUAUGUGACCCACCUCCAUGUGAGUAUUUGUAAUGAUUCUGUAAAUGAUCAUUCUGUACAAAUGAAAAAUUUCGUAUUUGAAGUUCAUUAGAUAUGAAAUUUGAGCUAG